ensembl:antisense
UUCCUCUGCUCCUGGCAGACACCCAGGCACCCACAUACUCAUGGAAGAAGCUGGGAAGACUGCGUGGGAGGUGCUGGCCAUGAAGUCCGCGAUCUGUCGGAGGGCCCAGAUGUUAGAGGAGUUGUUGCCCUUCUUCAUCUGCUCCUGGAUGAGGCCUUCCAGCUCCUCCCUGAAAGACUGUAGCAGGCCAAGGGGUUGGUGCCCUGUUCCUCAUGGAGGGCCGGGGGCCCAGCAGGCCUUCAUAAGAGGGCAAUGCCCUACAGAUACCCAGGGAUUGGUGCCCAGCUCCUUGCAGGAGAAUUAAGGACCCUGCAGGUCCCUAGGAGCUGAGCUCUGCACAGGGGGUGAUCUCCACUCACUCCCCUCCUGCAGCUCCUUCACAGGAGGACUGCUCCUGCAAGUAGCCAGGGGGUUGCUCUUCAGUAAAGGCCAAGGACCCUGAGGGAUCCCCAGAUGCAGGUUCACUAGGGCCCCAGGUUCCUCUUCAGAUUGCUGGCAGUUCAACAGACUAAGACAGGGAAAAGAUCAAGUACCCACAUGGCUGGGUGAUCUUGUUCAACAAGCCUAAACUGUCAAGACCCUGAGUGAGGGACAGGGAGACAGAGCCACUGGUCUUUUGAGUCUCUGGGAAACCAGCCCUCGCUGCCCUGCCCACUCACAGGGCUCUGCAGGAUCAUGGUGACCCUCUUCUUCUGCUCCAUCAGGUUGAAGUCCUGUCGCAGGUCAGCUGCACGGUUGCGAAGUCGCAAGUACUCAGGAUCAUCUUCAGAGAACCGGUCAAAGUAGUGCUGCCCUUGAGAGGGUGGUGGGGAGGCCGCCUCGGGGACCGUGUCCUCACUCAUGGUCCUGCUAAGGCUUCAAUCCACUCCUGGAACCCUGGAGAAAGAGGACAGGGCCUCCUCAAAAGCUAUGGUCCAGAAAUUCACAAAAGAACACUACUUCCAGGGACACGGGAAGCAGCUCAUUUGGUAGAAACACCCUAAACCAAACCCCUCAGAGUGUUUUAAAUAAGUCUAUGAUUGAUAGCGUUGGACCUGUGCUGUCCAGGUCUCAUGUAUAUUCUAAAUGGAGAGGGAGAGGCCUGCGGCUGGGGCCCAUUUCAGGUGAGCAGGUCAGGACUGGAACUCAGUCCUAUACUUUGAACAGCUCUGUCCCUUGACACCUGCAUGUGUUCAGUGGGUCUCUUCCCUUCUCUGCCUCAUCUGCUCUGUCUCUCACUGAGGGGUGAACAGAAUGGCCACUGGGCUCCUUUGAACGCUGUGCCUCCAUGCUGCCUGAAGCCAGCUCAUCCUGGACCUUUGGGGUAAGAAGAAAUAGGAAGACGGGUGCAGAGGACAUGGCCCAUCCAAGACAUGGAUGGGGCAGCAGUAGUCCUCCAUGGCUCCUCCCCACUCAGCUGCCACUGCUCUCCCUGGUACCACUGUACCAAGGCAAUCUCCACAGCACUUUCAAAGCCCUGAACCUUGGAUGUUUUUGAAAUAGAACCAAGCAGCCCCGCCUUGUGUGUACCCUGGUAUGAUCAUGUAUACAUCCUGACACACAUUCUUGUAGGACUCUAAGCCACCAGUUCCAGAAGCGCCAAUGGGCCUGGGAUGGUGUGGUCCCAGGCCCUCCUGACUUCAGUUCAUUCUGUUUAACAGAAAGGCACUGAUCCUUAGCUGCCCUGCCACGACUCUGGCCAUGGUUCUAGAUGUGCUUCCAUAAGGAUGGCUAACUCAGUCCCCAUGGGACAGGGAUUCGGUGCAGUGAGGCAUCCUUUCUGCAACUCCCGUCCACAGUGCUGGUGGUGACUAGUUACCUGCAGAUGGCUUAGUGGGUAAGGCAGCAGUGCUGAAAUAAAACUACCUGGGUUCAAACCUCAGCAAC